rfam:Firmicutes bacterium CAG:882 genomic scaffold, scf560
UUUGGGAGAAACUUAGAUGUUCUUAGGACUCUGCUGAUUCUCCAGCCAAAAGCAGCAUGGAUGCUGCUUUAGAAGCAAUGCAUACAAGGAUGUAUGCUUUGCUUCGGUGGCGGACAUAUAGAAAAACACUUAUCAGAGUCCUUAGAACAUCUUGCUUCGUACAAC